rnacentral:rRNA from 1 species
CGAGCGAGACCUUCGGGUCUAGCGGCGGACGGGUGAGUAACGCGUGGGAACGUGCCCUUCUCUACGGAAUAGCCCCGGGAAACUGGGAGUAAUACCGUAUACGCCCUUUGGGGGAAAGAUUUAUCGGAGAAGGAUCGGCCCGCGUUGGAUUAGGUAGUUGGUGAGGUAACGGCUCACCAAGCCGACGAUCCAUAGCUGGUUUGAGAGGAUGAUCAGCCACACUGGGACUGAGAAACGGCCCAGACUCCUACGGGAGGCAGCAGUGGGGAAUCUUAGACAAUGGGGGCAACCCUGAUCUAGCCAUGCCGCGUGAGUGAUGAAGCCCCUUAGGGUUGUAAAGCUCUUUCAGCUGGGAAGCAUAAUGACGGUACCAGCAGAAGAAGCCCCGGCUAACUCCGUGCCAGCAGCCGCGGUAAUACGGAGGGGGCUAGCGUUGUUCGGAAUUACUGGGCGUAAAGCGCACGUAGGCGGACUGGAAAGUCAUGGGUGAAAUCCCAGGGCUCAACCUUGGAACUGCCUUUGAAACUAUCAGUCUGGAGUUCGAGAGAGGUGAGUGGAAUUCCCGAGUGUAGAGGUGAAUGUCGUAGAUAUUCGGAGGAACACCAGUGGCGAAGGCGGCUCACUGGCUCGAUACUGACGCUGAGGUGCGAAAGCGUGGGGAGCAAACAGGAUUAGAUACCC